rnacentral:rRNA from 1 species
GUGAUGACGAGGCACUACGGUGCUGAAGCGACAAAUGCCCUGCUUCCAGGAAAAGCCUCUAAGCAUCAGGUAACAUCAAAUCGUACCCCAAACCGACACAGGUGGUCAGGUAGAGAAUACCAAGGCGCUUGAGAGAACUCGGGUGAAGGAACUAGGCAAAAUGGUGCCGUAACUUCGGGAGAAGGCACGCUGAUAUGUAGGUGAAGCGACUUGCUCGUGGAGCUGAAAUCAGUCGAAGAUACCAGCUGGCUGCAACUGUUUAUUAAAAACACAGCACUGUGCAAACACGAAAGUGGACGUAUACGGUGUGACGCCUGCCCGGUGCCGGAAGGUUAAUUGAUGGGGUUAGCGGUAACGCGAAGCUCUUGAUCGAAGCCCCGGUAAACGGCGGCCGUAACUAUAACGGUCCUAAGGUAGCGAAAUUCCUUGUCGGGUAAGUUCCGACCUGCACGAAUGGCGUAAUGAUGGCCAGGCUGUCUCCACCCGAGACUCAGUGAAAUUGAACUCGCUGUGAAGAUGCAGUGUACCCGCGGCAAGACGGAAAGACCCCGUGAACCUUUACUAUAGCUUGACACUGAACAUUGAGCCUUGAUGUGUAGGAUAGGUGGGAGGCUUUGAAGUGUGGACGCCAGUCUGCAUGGAGCCGACCUUGAAAUACCACCCUUUAAUGUUUGAUGUUCUAACGUUGGCCCGUAAUCCGGGUUGCGGACAGUGUCUGGUGGGUAGUUUGACUGGGGCGGUCUCCUCCUAAAGAGUAACGGAGGAGCACGAAGGUUGGCUAAUCCUGGUCGGACAUCAGGAGGUUAGUGCAAUGGCAUAAGCCAGCUUGACUGCGAGCGUGACGGCGCGAGCAGGUGCGAAAGCAGGUCAUAGUGAUCCGGUGGUUCUGAAUGGAAGGGCCAUCGCUCAACGGAUAAAAGGUACUCCGGGGAUAACAGGCUGAUACCGCCCAAGAGUUCAUAUCGACGGCGGUGUUUGGCACCUCGAUGUCGGCUCAUCACAUCCUGGGGCUGAAGUAGGUCCCAAGGGUAUGGCUGUUCGCCAUUUAAAGUGGUACGCGAGCUGGGUUUAGAACGUCGUGAGACAGUUCGGUCCCUAUCUGCCGUGGGCGCUGGAGAACUGAGGGGGGCUGCUCCUAGUACGAGAGGACCGGAGUGGACGCAUCACUGGUGUUCGGGUUGUCAUGCCAAUGGCACUGCCCGGUAGCUAAAUGCGGAAGAGAUAAGUGCUGAAAGCAUCUAAGCACGAAACUUGCCCCGAGAUGAGUUCUCCCUGAGACUUAGAGUCUCCUGAAGGAACGUUGAAGACGACGACGUUGAUAGGCCGGGUGUGUAAGCGCAGCGAUGCGUUGAGCUAACCGGUACUAAUGAACCGUGAGGCUUAACCUUACAACGCCGAAG